CGAACAGUAGCAGCAGCAAUCGCAGUGAAAUGACAGCUACUGGUAGUCCCGGCUACCAGACACUCCCGAACUACACUGACUUGAUUCCUGUUCAGCCCAAGAUAUGUAGGCAAUUUCUGAAGCAGGAUGCGACCAAACUUUUCAAAAAUGCUUCACACGGAAUAUGUGGACGGGUCGCUCAUUUCUGCUCACUUGUCUUUGUACGAAAACUCUUCGUGUUUUCG
rnacentral:lncRNA from 1 species